UCCUUCACUAUAUGAUUAGGUUUACUAGUAUAAUUUGCGUGCUGCGGGAUCUCUUUCUAUACACAUAAUUAGCAUGUUUUUAAACCCUAAUUUAUUCCUCACUUUCAUCAAAAUCUAGUCGACCUAAACAUCUCAAAACUUUCUGAAAUUACACUCUCCUAAUCCCUCUCCUUUACUGUCAAAACAAUUCGGUAAGUAUCUCCUCUCAAUUUCAGUUUUGAGUUUAUAAUCGAUACCUUCGUUUUUCAAUCCGUUCUCCGUCGUUUUAGGAUCAAAUUUGGAUCCGUCUCGUCCCCGUGAAAGUAGACUCACGCCUCUACGAUUCUACACCUUGUUUUCAUCAAACGACUCUUCGACUGUUCGUGCUUCAGAGACGAAUCAGGAUUAGAUUGCUUGCCAGGUUAUCACGUGGAUUAGCAAGCAGGUUAUGAUUUGAGCGAGUCAACUGGUCUCCGAUUCUUUAUUUCCUCGGAGGUCUUACUUUAUUUUAUUAAAGUUAUUGAAGUGAUUUUACUCUUAGACCGCAGUAGAAAUUAGAAGUCUUAGUUGUGUAGUACUUGUUGUCAUAUUAAUUCAAUUAGAUUAUUUGUUGAUUGGCAUUAUUAUAUUAACUUAUGUUAUUUUAAUAUUUAUGCCA